rnacentral:lncRNA from 12 species
GGAAACGUCCCCCGAAGUGAAAAGAGAAAGCCGAGUCCCAAGGUGACCGACUCUCACAAGCCCUGCCUCCUGAAGGAUGGCUCUGGCGUCUUGGAACAUUCCAGAACGGCCUGUGGAGGUGCAGCCUCCUUCAGGAUGUCCAGAGCCAUGCCUGAAAUUCGGGAGAAGAGAGACCCGAAGGCGGACACGCCACAUUCCCCCUCGGCCAGGCCUUUCUCUCCGCCAUCCCAUUAUCCUCGGUGCCCGCCCCUGACGGCCGAGGCAGGAAGGGACCCUCCUUCUGCUCAUCGCUCUCGGCAGAGAACCCCUCGCAGCGCGCCACGAGCAGGGGUGCCCACCCCGCCAGGUCCCCAGGGGACCCGCGCAGCUCGUGGGGAGCAUUCCGACGGAAACCUCUGCGCUGCGGGCCCAGGAUGGCUGGGUGCUUCCUCCGCGGCCAGGUGGGCAGCUGCCCGCCCCGCCGCUGGCCACGAGGCUCGUCCCCGCCGCUGUCCGCAGGGCCUGGGGACCAGCCAGGCUGCAGGCAGAGGAGGGAGGCGGGAGGCAUCCCCGGUGCCAGGACGGGGCGGUUUCCUGCAGCCCGAGGACGGUUCUCACGGCGAAUCCCCUGGCAGUGGUUGCCAAGGAGACUCGUAUCUCACGCAGCCGGGCCCCAGCCCCAGAGUCCCGGGGCCAGGAUGGGGGACACACGGGGGGCGGUGAGGAGGGACCUCAGGGGGCGCUCACCCCACGGUGAGGAGCUGGGCCGCUGGAGACGGGGCACCGUGUGGAACAGGCCGCAUCUCGAGGCACAUCAGGUCACGUGCCCGCCGCGCACCCGCAGCACACAGACCAUCGUCACCCAGCAGCACGAGCGACCCCAGCUGACGUCAGAGGGGACGUAGGCCGCAGCCUGAGCUCCGCACAGAGCCCCUGGGGUCCUGAGGGCUGGGGCUGUGGUGUGCAGCGCGCAUGGCAGGGGUGACCGGGGGUGACAGGCGAGGGGGCGGCGGAGGCGCACACUUCAGCCAGAGGGGCCCUCACGGUGCUCAGCCUGUAUGCACACCUGUCGGUCGUGGGGCGCACUGCGCAGCUGUGUGCAGGUGGGUGCGUGUGCAGUUGUGCGUGUGCAGGCAUGUAUGUAUGUAGGUGUGUGUGGAUGUGUGCAUGUGUGUGCAGCUGUGCACGUGCAGGCAUGUGUGUGCAUUCAGGUGUGUGCAGGUUGGGCGUGUGCAGGAGUGCAGGUGUGCGUGUGUGUGUGCAGGCGUGUGCACACCCGUGUUCUGCUUGCCCCUGCACUGCAGGGGGGGCGCCCCACCUCCAGGGACACACUCGGCUUCCGCCCCCACCCCUGACCUCAAGGAAUAGUCACUUUCUGGAAAAGCACAGCAGCGCCUGUGGCACCUCGUUCCCGGGCCCACGGGGGGGUCACAGCACAGGCCGGAGCCCCCUGCCGGGCCCGCACCCCGACCCCUUGGGGGCCCCCCAAGACUGACGCAGGACGGGGCCGGGGGACUCAUCUCGUCUCCACACUUGAAGUGAGCGGGAUGUGAGGCCAUGAGCACGGCCCCGCAGCCCCGCCGGUGCUCCCUGGACGCGGGGAGGGUCUCUGACCCCAAGGCCCCCAGGCCUCGCGGCGCCGCCGCCGUGUGCCAACCUGCAGGCGGGGCAGAGCCCGAGCCCCCUCCCCCUGCAGACACGGUGCCGUCAGCGCCUCGGGCGG